AGUGGAAAUGUCCUCUUCUGAGGAGGAAACUGUUUUCAUUCCGGCUGUUACCAAGAGCCCAGAAGAAAACGACCAGCAGUAUAAUGGAGGAUUUAAGCCUUAUUGCUGUGCUGACCAGACCUCAGAGGGCUCUACAAAGAAGGCUCCAGACGAUGACCCCAAAAUCGAGAUGGAGGACAACCCACUGAUCUACAAAAUCAGUGAGGCCACGCCCAUCCACCUUACGCUGUUCUUUGCCAUGCAACAAGCGCUAUUGUCUCUCUCAACGUCGUUGGCAGUAUCCCUGUUAGUUGCUGACUACGCAUGCGCAGAACAUGACGAGGACUUCAAGUCGAGGUUGCUGAGCUCCACCCUGUUCAUGAAUGGGAUUACAACGCUCCUCAUGGUUACAAUAGGCGUCAGAUUACCACUGUACCAAGGAGCUACACCGGACUAUGUGGCACCACUGGUUGCCAUGGCAGCCAUUGACAAGGACAGAUGCAACAUGACAACUACAUAUUUCAACACCACUUCCAACUCGACAGAACUUAUCUACACCAGUAACGAUGACGUCAUUAUUUAUCAUAUACAAACAUUACAGGGCAGUCUGAUGCUGGCCGGGGUGAUCCACUUUCUGGUCGGCGCCACUGGAUUGGUCGGGGUCCUGCUGCGCUUCAUUGGACCGGUCACCAUAGUACCCACAAUUCUGUUGAUCGGAAUAUACAUGGUCACAUCCGUCACAAAGUUCGCGCAAGUUCACUGGGGAAUCUCGUCCAUGUUUGUAUAGUCACUAAUUAUUUUGCUUUGUUUAUUAAUAUUUAUCAAAACGUGACAAUAAUUAAUUCUCUCUAGUUUCUAGUUCAUAAAAAAUUACAAUGUAUAGACUUGUCAUUCUAAAUUACAAUGAUAAGAUAUAUUUUUGGCAUUUGUAUAUGACAAGACUGAUCCUCAUUUCCUCAUUUGUAUUUAAUUUACACGUGGCCAUGACUUUAAUGUAUAUACAUGUUUCUACACAACACAAUGGCUAAACCAGUGGAUAUAUGCUCAUCAUCCACCAUGUUCAUCGUACGGUCUCCAAGUGUAGCAUACACACAAGCAAUAAGCAAUUAUAACUUGUGACACCACAAACGCGGACCAGUAUACAUGAUGUACUUAGGUUAGUUGACUUGAAUUGCAGGACCUGUGCUAUCGCCAUCAUCCUGUCCCUGUACCUGUCCAAAUACAACAUGCCCAUACCUGUAUGGACCAGAAAAAAAUCUUGUCACGUGAUCAGAUAUCCUCUGCAUCAGGUGUUUGCUAUUCUGAUCGCAAUUGUGAUUGGCUGGAUCUUCAGCCUCGUUCUGACAGAGUGCGGAGUAUUUGACAGCGCCACGUCAGUCAACGACAAACUGUAUUAUGCCAGAACGGAUACCAGAAACUACGUCAUCAAAAACGCCAAGUGGUUUCAGUUCCCUUACCCAGGACAGUUUGGCCUGAUUCGAUUCAGCAUCAGCGCUUUUGUGGGGUUCUUCAUUGCCACCAUUGUCUCCAUUCUGGACUCCAUCGGAGAUUACUACGCAUGCGCCACCACGUGCCGUGUCCCGCCUCCUCCUGCACACGCAGUGAAUCGUGGGAUAGCUGUGGAGGGCCUGUGUACCACGCUGUCUGGAGCUGUUGGUUGUGGGCAUGGUACUACGACAUACGGAGGGAACAUCGGCGCUAUCGGUUUGACUAAAGUCGCCAGCAGACACGUGUUUGUGUGCGUGUCCCUGGUUUACAUCCUGUUUGGAAUUAUUGGUAAAUUUUCGGCCGUGUUCAUCACCAUCCCCCAUCCCGUGCUCGGUGGCGCUCUCAUCAUCAUGUUCGGAAUGUUUAAUGGGGUAGUUCUCUCCAAUCUCCAGUCAGUGGAUCUCUCCUCUACUCGGAACUCUGCCAUUAUCGGAACCUCUCUGCUGGUUGGCUUGAUGCUGCCACACUGGAUUGAGCGAUAUCCUAAUACGGUGGAUACAGGAUAUCCAGAUGUUGAUGAUGUACUGAAAAUGUUACUAGGAAACCCAAACAUGGUGGGUGCCAUACUUUCCUGUUUCCUUGACAACACCGUACCAGGUACCCCCGAGGAGCGCGGGAUAACGGCCUGGCAGACGGUUGACGAGGAGGCCGUGUCCUCGGGGAACUACCAGGAGGGGUUCGAGGUCUACAAACCCUGGCUCCCAGCGCGCGUCACCAAUGCCAGCUUUAUGACCUACAUCCCAUUCAUGCCCAAUCCCAAGAAACCCGUCCCGGAGCGCCAUCUGUCGGUGGACCUAGGAAGGAGAAAAAGUUUAGUACACGCAAUUCCCACUGGGCGUUGAUAAAGAUUUCAUUUAUUUAACUUUUACAAUUGUUUAGAACCUUGCUAUAAAUUGUUAAGGUGAUUUAAACCUGUUUUCAAUUUUCAUACACAACCAAGCACACUGGUGUGAGAAUGAAACUCAGUAGUGUCCGAAACACGCAUAUAUGACGUCUUUUGAUGGCAGCUACAUACUAGUACAUGUCUGUUAUACCUGUAUUCAACUCAUCAAUCGUAUCAUCAAUAAAUAAAGAAGAAAUGUUACUU
rnacentral:misc_RNA from 1 species